rnacentral:sRNA from 1 species
UUUCUUAUUUUAUUAUUACGUAACCUCGUACUCCUAUGUUUUUAUAUUUAAUCCGUAAUUUUUGGUGGUUUUGAUUUGGGUUCCCGAUAUUUCCCUCGUUCUUGCCCAAUCGUGUCGGUACUAACCCUGGUCGUAAUACCCGAUUACCGGAAACGUUAUUAACGGAAGAUAAAAAAGUCAAUUAAAUAUGGAAAAAAUGCGUGGACUUAUCCGAACAGGCAAAUAUUUCCAAUACCGUAAACCGGGCUAUAUUAGCAAAAAUUGCCCCAAUGGAAAUACCGGUCGCCCUACUAUUUCCAAAAACCGAAUUUAUUAAAUUAUUGUAAAUUACCACAAAAAAAUACCGAUAUAUUUGGAAAAAACGUCGUUAUAUUAGAAAAUUAAUUACUUUAGGAAAAUUGGAUUUCUUUUUAAAAAAAAUGUAAUUAAUUACCGAAAUGUGCAAAUUAAAAAAAAAAGUUUUUUGCAAAGUAAAAAUUGCUGGAAAAAUUAAUAACCUACGAUUUUUUACGUAAAUAUUUAGGCGGCGACCUAAUAUUUAUAACGGUUAGCAUUUCCCUAAAUAAAUUUAAUUAAAAUAUUUGUAUUUUAAUUAAUAUCGGAAUAAAUAAAUACGUUUUUAUUAGCAAAUAAUUUGUUCGGCGAUUAUAUAUAACGUUAAAAGCCCCUAGAAUUGUCGGUUUUUACCCCUAAAAAAUUGGAAAUUAUAACAGGAAAAUUUCGCGAUAAAUUAAUAUUAUUAUAUUAACCAUUUUUAUAAUAUAGGGCCGAAAAUUCCGCGAAACGCCGAUAUUAAUAUUGGAUAUAUUAUAAAAAAUAAUUGUAAAACGAUUUUUCCUGGCGGAAUACAAAAUAUUUACCUAUUAUUUUUACCGACGGUUCCAAUUCCCGGAAAAUUUACUUUUAUUAACGGUAUAUUAUUAAAAUAUUAAUAUAAUUUAAUUACCAAAUCCGGGGUUUAUAAAUUUUUUAUAUUAGUCGGACGUGGAUUAUCGAAAUACGGUUUGGAAAAAAAAAGAUUAAUUGGUUUUCCGAUAACGAAUAAUAUAACGACGAAUUUAAAUUUUAAAAAAAAUAAUAAAACGCCUUUCGUCGAUAUUUCGGAAAGCAAAAUUGCUGGCCAAAUUGGGAUAAACCUGGGAAAUCCUUAAGCCCCGGGAAAUUUACGCCGAUCCAAAUUUAUAAAUAAUAUAACGGGAAUUUUACAAUUUACAAAAACCAAAGGUUAAAAUAAGAAAUUUAAAUUAUAUUUGAAAGAAAAAAACCAAAAAGGCCGAAAAUUUCUUUUAUAUAUAAAAGAAUACCAAAGAAAAAUAUAAUUUAAAAAAAACGCGGUGGAUUAAUAUAAAAAUUAACAAAUAAAUAUUAUUAUAAUAAACGUUAUAUAAUUUAUAUAUUCGGUGUAAAACAAUUUAAUUCUUUACUGGAUUUCGAUAUACGAAAUCGAUAAUAUCCUGCGGUAAAAAAAUACCAAAAACUAUUACCUAAUAACGACGGAAAUUUGCGGGCGAUAUUAUUUAAAAAAAAAUCCAAAAUAUUACCACGACCUGUUAAACGUAUUUGGUAAAAUAAAAUCCGGUUAAAUUUCGUUUUUUUAACCGGGAUUAAAUUAUAAUAUAUAAUUUGAAAAUAACCCCAAAUUAUUGAAAUAUAAUCCAUUUUAUAUAAUAACGGAGGAAAAAUUGGAAAUUUGCAAAAAAUAUUUCUAAAAUAAUCUCCAAAAAAGUUUUAUAAAACCAGGAUUAAUCCCGUAAACCGCCCCUAUUUUAUUUGUACGAAAAAAUAAUGGAAAAUUCCGGUUUUGCGGCGAUUAUCGAAAAUUAAACGUUUUUAUUAAAAAAAGAAAUUGUUUUUUACCCUUAAUCGAAAAAAUAUUUACCCGGAUUUCCAAAAUUCGAUUAUUUACCGAAAUUGAUAUUAGAUAAGUUUUCCACCGGAUCCAUAUAAAUUUGGAAUAUCGAAAUUAUACAAUUUUUAAAACCCAAUACGGGGUUUUCCAAUAUAAUAUAUUAUUUUUUAAUUUUAUUAACGGGUUAACCAAGUUUUAAAAGUUUAUUAACCAAAUUCUAAUAAAAAUUUGGACGAUUUUUAUUCCGUUUAUAUAGACGACAUUUUAAUUUGUAACGAAAUUAAAAAGAAACACCAGAUUUACGUCCGGUAAAUUCUGGAAAAAUUUAAAAAAGCUGGAUUUUAAAUUAAUAUUAAAAAAUGCAAAUUUAACGUUAUAAAAAUAUAAUUUUUGGGUUUUAUUAUAAAUAUUAAAGGCGUCGUUAUCGACCCAAAUAAAAUAAACACCGUAAAAUAGUGGGUAUUACCCAUUACCGUAAAAGAAAUGCAAUUUUUCCUAGGGUUUUGCAAUUUUUACAAAAGGUUUAUCCCAAAAUAUAACCGGGUAACCAAACCGUUAACGAAUUUAACGAAAAAAGCGGUGUUUUUUUAAUGGGACGAAUAUUGCCGCGUCGUUUUUAAUACUUUAAAAAAGGUAUUAAUUUCCGCACCCGUCCUUAUUUAUUAUUAAACGAAUUACAAAAUAAAAGUAAAAAUUAAUACGUCCGGAAAAGAAAUGGUAGCCGGAACGUUAUUGUAAUAAAAUCCAAAUACCCAAAAAUGGUAUCCGAUUGCAUUUUUUCCGAAAUUAUAUAAUAGGCGGAAAUUAAUUACCCUAUUUACAAUAAAAAAUUGCUAGCAAUUGUUAAAACGCUAAUAAUUUGAAAACUAAAACUAAUAGGUAUUAAAAAAAAAUUUGUAGCGAUUAUUAAUUAUAUAACUUUGGAAUAGUUUUUUACAAAACGAUUAUUUAAUUUCCGGUAAACGGUUUGGGCCAAUUUUUUUUCCCAAUAUAAUUUUGAAAUUAAAUACCACCCUGGGAAUAAAAACGUGGUGGUAAAUGUUUUAAACUGCAAAAUAAAAAAUAUAUAAAAUUGAAAAAAACGUUAAAAAAUAAAACGUUAUAUAGCUAUUUUUAUCCUGUCGAUAAUAUUAACCAUAAAUUUUAUAUGGUUAACUUUUUUUUAUAUUGGUAAAUUAUUACCGAUAGCGGUUUUGCAAUAUUAUUAACAGCAAUUAAACCAAUUGGCGCAAUUGGAUAAUUUUUAUUUGUUAAAAAGAUAUUUAGGGCUAACGAACAUUUACUAUUGCUAAAAUAGUACCGAAUUAAAACCCGUAACCCGAAAAAAAACAUUAGACGUUAUUAUAUAAUAAAUACGUAUUAUACCGAGGAAAAUUGGUAGUUUUAAACGACGGGAAAUGGCCCGCCGAAAUAAUUCGUAAAAUUUAUAAGAUUAUUGCUACGGUUUAUUUUGGCCCCAAUAAAACCCGCCGUUUUGUGGUACAGUAAUUUUAAUAACCAAAUAUAAAUAAAAUAUUGGACCGUUAUAUCGCCAAUUAUUUUUUUAAUUAGUUAAAAUUCCGAAAAAUAAAACCCCUGGGUUUUUAUAAUUGUUACCCGUACCGGAUCGAUAAUAAAAUAUUAUCGUCGUAAAUUUUAAAUUAAUACCCAAAUCGAAAUUGGGAAAUAAUAACUUAUUUAUAAUAAUCGAUACGCUAAUAAAACGGUCGUGGGCGGUUCCAUAUAUAAGGACGGUUACCGCGAAAAAUGCAAUUGUAAUAUAUUACAAAAGUUUUUACCGCGUUUAUAAUUUACCUACGAAAAUUGUUUAUGAUAAAAACCCGCAAUUUAUAUUAAAUUUAAUCGACGAAAUAUUUAAAAUUUUGCAAAUUAAAUGGAAAUUUUCGACUGUGGGGUAUUUUUAAAUAAUAAAACAAAUAAAAUAUAAACGUUUAUAUCGAUUAAAAAUUAAAUUUUUAUAUUAACUAUUUCCAAAACGAUUGGAACAAACGUAUUUCCGUAAUUAAUUUAAUGCAUAUAACGUUACCCCAUAAUUCUUUCGGAGGAUUUUCACUUUUUAAAAGUAAAAACGGUUAUCCGGCCCAUAUAUAUUUUAAUUGGACGUAAAAGACCGAAUUAAAAGAAUUAUUUACCUGUAAAUAAUUUAUAAAAACCGAAAUUCAAACGAUUAUUAAAAAACUCAACAAUUACGUGGAAACGAUAUAUACCCAUUUUUAAAUAACGUAAUAACAAAUAUAUAACCAAAUUAAUAAAUACCGCCGGAAACCUAAUUUCGGAAUAGGAAACGCCGUUUAUAUUAUUAAAAAAUAUUGGGUAACGGACCGUUUUAACGAUAAAUUAAAUUACCCGUUAACUAAAUAUAAUUAUAUAAUUAAAAAAAACGGGGGUAUUUUUACCAUUUGGAAUUGCUAAAUUUUUAAAAAAAAACCGCGUAUUUUAUACCGACCGUUUUUGGUUAACCCACGUAACCCAUUGGACGGAUAAACCGGAAAAAGGCCCGAAAACGAAAUAAUUAUCGCGUUAAAAAUAUUAACGAAAAAAAAUAAAAAGUCCAACGGGUAAUUUUUUCGCGGAUAUUAUAAAAUAUAUUUAAUACCAAAUCCAGUGGAAAAACUGGAAUCCCGACCCGGAAUUUUACAACGCGGAAAAAUUUAAAAACGCGGUUAUAUAAUUGCGAUAAUAUUAUAGCAUUUACUCCGAUAAAACCGGUUUUUUUAUACGUUUAAAAAUUUGAAAAAAGGCUAUUUUCGAAAAUCGGUUUAACCCGCCCGACGAAUAAUAUAACGCCCCGGUUACGGGGAAUAAUACACCCUGUAAAUUGCAAUAUCGCCGGUAAAAAUAAAAUAAAAUACGGUAAAGGUUUUAACCGUUUUUGGGGCGGACGGGGGGGUAAUGUUACGGAAUAAUAUAUUUGGGCGAUUACCAACCGUAAUUAAUUUUAUUUUACGUAAUAAUACGCCAGGUUAAAUUUGUUAUUUGUUCGUUUAAACGCGUAUACGCGAUUAAUAUUGCGUACCUUUUUUUUCCUUUACAUUUAAUUUUAAAUUUUCGAAUAAAAUCGCCCGUAUAUAUUACAACCGGGGACUGGGUACAGGCUAGGCACACGGUAAUUAAUAAGAUACAGGGCAAUAAUACAGCGUAUAAUAAUCCACGAUAGCAUUAUAAUAAUAGCAUUUGGACUAGAAAUUGAUUUUUAAGGAUUCAGGACUAACCUGCUAUCCUUAAGAUUUAGGAGCCCCUAUUUAUAAACGGCGUUCCUAUUAUAUUUACGUAACGCGAAUUUACAGGUUUAGCAAAACCCAGCCCCUAAGGUUAUACGUUAGCAUUUAAAUAUUAAUAAAUUUGCACGUAAUAAUUAU